GUGAACAGUUGGUGAAGACGCGGCUCCUCGCAGCCGGUGAGUCCCUGGACACCGGCUCAGGAUCCUAGGACCCUGCAGGCACGUUUUCACGACGCCCCUUGAUCCUGGACUCCUGGGCACUCAGUAAUGAGUCUCUCCCCUCAGAACCUGGGCCCGCAGCUGCAGGGUCUUGAGGUUGUUGGAUCGCUAGAUUUUGUGGUCACAAAGUCGACAGAUCCCGGGGUCACUGAAUCGGGAUCAGUCCUUAAGUCCCUGGACCCCGGGAUUAAUGAAACCUCCAGUCAUUCGGCCCUAGGCCCUCUCUGAUACUGGGUCACCACAGUCCCUAGACCCUGGGGUUUCUGAAUUCCCCUGGCCACUUAUACAUUUGACUCCUUUCGUGGCUAAAUCUCGUGGUCACUGGGUCAUCGGGCAGGAGAGGGCAGCAGGGAGCUGUAGCGUUGAGAAUAAUGGCAGCUUCUCACCAGAAAGUCCCAAAGCUGUCUUAGGAAACCAGAGUCAAAGGAGACCAAGGGGCUGUGGGAA
rnacentral:lncRNA from 1 species